GGCAAGGUAGUUUAAUUAAAAAUAUCUAUUUUACACGUAGAAGUUAGAUUAUUUCUUAUUGUCA
rnacentral:tRNA from 1 species